UGGUGCAAGGACACAGCCAGGAACACU
rnacentral:piRNA from 1 species